AUUGUUNGCCAAACAACUACGAGUCCUACUUAAAACUUAAAAGACUUGACGGUGCUUCAUCACGGCCUAGAGGAGCCUGUCCAAUAACCGACAAUCCACGAUUAACCCCACCCCUUCUCGCCACACAGUCUAUAUACCGCCGUCGCCAGCUUACCUUGUAAAAGAAAUAAAGUGAGCUAAACAGCACUACACUAAAACGACAGGUCGAGGUGUAACCUAUGAAAGGGACCAAGAUGGGCUACAUUCUCCAACCGAGAAUACGAAUAACACUAUGAAAUUAGUGAUUGAAGGCGGAUUUAGCAGUAAGAUAAGAAUAAAACACCUAACUGAACAUGACGCAAUGAAGUGCGUACACACCGCCCGUCACCCCUGUCACCACAAUGUUAAACUUAAUAAACCAACUAAAUAAACCAAACAGGGCAAGUCGUAACAAGG
rnacentral:rRNA from 1 species